UGAUCAUAUAAACCCUAAUAAAUUAUAAACAUUCGAAUGUAAAAUUUCGCACGAUAGAUAAUGACAAACAAACGACGGAAAUUACAUAAUAAAUCCACAGCGUGUAUCUUAAUAUAUUUGUCAGUACAUGGAUAACCCGAAUAAUCCAGUCGUUAUAUUACGAUCACUUCGGUCACUCCAUUAACCAUUUCCUCGAGAAAGUAGUGGAUAGGGGCGCUGAAUUAUUCGAGUUAGUACAUGGAGGAAAGAUAUUCAAAGAUUAGAAGCGACGAUUUAAUAUCCAGUUGUGCAUUGUAUUUGUCGUGGUUGAAACGGCACCAGGAACAUAUCAGGAUAGACAACAAAAGACUAGUGAGAAAAAUGUUAUGAAACACCAGCAAAAAAGAUUAGAUUGUUAUUCAGUCCUGACUUAUACAGUGUUUCUGAAGAUGGAGAUUAGAUCAGGCCUAUCCAGAAGCAAGAAAAAGAACAAUUCAAAGCACGUACAUCUACAGAGAGAGACAUGUUUUAAAAAACAGAUUUAUUUUCAAUUUUAGAAAAACCUGUUGAACUUUUACUAUUUCUUAUCUGUUUAUUUACAUUUAUAUGUUGAUAUUUUGUUUUUUAAAAUUGCUGCACAGUAAUUCUAUUCAGUCCCAUAUAACAAAAUCAGCUGAAGAAAUUGAUAUUUUCAUAUUUCAAGGGAGUGUCCUUUUGCAUUGUUGAUAGCAGAUAUAAGUAUUGUCUUAAGUUGGGUUUAAAAACAGUCAGAUCGCAACUUCAAAUAAAAUACAUUUUUGUGAAUGUUAUAUGUCAUUAAAUAGACAUAUUAGAUGGAAAAUUUUAUAGGAACACAUUUUUUAUGACCUAAAUGUAUUGUCAAGGUAAAUUUAUUAUGUGAACAUAUCAAAUAUUAUCAAAAACACUGCUGGUUUGAAAUAAAAUUAUUCAAUGUAGCCUAAUGUAAUCAUACAGAUCAGUAUA